AGUGAACGCUGGCGGUAGGCCUAACACAUGCAAGUCGAACGGCAGCACAGUAAGAGCUUGCUCUUACGGGUGGCGAGUGGCGGACGGGUGAGGAAUACAUCGGACUCUACUUUUUCGUGGGGGAUAACGUAGGGAAACUUACGCUAAUACCGCAUACGACCUACGGGUGAAAGCAGGGGAUCUUCGGACCUUGCGCGAUUGAAUGAGCCGAUGUCGGAUUAGCUAGUUGGCGGGGUAAAGGCCUACCAAGGCGACGAUCCGUAGCUGGUCUGAGAGGAUGAUCAGCCACACUGGAACUGAGACACGGUCCAGACUCCUACGGGAGGCAGCAGUGGGGAAUAUUGGACAAUGGGCGCAAGCCUGAUGCAGCCAUACCGCGUGGGUGAAGAAGGCCUUCGGGUUGUAAAGCCCUGUUGUUGGGAAAGAAAAGCAGCAGGUUAAUACCCCGCUGUUAUGACGGUACCCAAGGAAUAAGCACCGGCUAACUUCGUG
rnacentral:rRNA from 1 species